CACGUAGGGCGCAAGCGUUGUCCGGAAUUAUUGGGCGUAAAGAGCUCGUAGGCGGUCUGUUGCGUCCGCUGUGAAAACUCGGGGCUUAACCCCGAGCCUGCAGUGGGUACGGGCAGACUAGAGGUAGGUAGGGGAGAAUGGAAUUCCCGGUGUAGCGGUGAAAUGCGCAGAUAUCGGGAGGAACACCGGUGGCGAAGGCGGUUCUCUGGGCCUUACCUGACGCUGAGGAGCGAAGGCGUGGGGAGCGAACAGG
rnacentral:rRNA from 1 species